rnacentral:tRNA from 1 species
CGGGAAGUGGCUCAGUCUGGUAGAGCACAUCGUUCGGGACGAUGGGGCCGGAGGUUCGAAUCCUCUCUUCCCGACCA